GUGGGGAAUUUUGGACAAUGGGCGCAAGCCUGAUCCAGCAAUGCCGCGUGCAGGAAGAAGGCCUUCGGGUUGUAAACUGCUUUUGUACGGAACGAAACGGUCCGGGUUAAUACCCUGGGCUAAUGACGGUACCGUAAGAAUAAGCACCGGCUAACUACGUGCCAGCAGCCGCGGUAAUACGUAGGGUGCAAGCGUUAAUCGGAAUUACUGGGCGUAAAGCGUUCGCAGGCGGUUUUGUAAGACAGGCGUGAAAUCCCCGGGCUCAACCUGGGAAUUGCGCUUGGGACUGCAAGGCUGGAGUGCGGCAGAGGGGGAUGGAAUUCCGCGUGUAGCAGUGAAAUGCGUAGAUAUGCGGAGGAACACCGAUGGCGAAGGCAAUCCCCUGGGCCUGCACUGACGCUCAUGCACGAAAGCGUGGGGAGCAAACAGGAUUAGAAACCCUUGUAGUCC
rnacentral:rRNA from 1 species